rnacentral:rRNA from 1 species
AGAGUUUGAUCAUGGCUCAGAUUGAACGCUGGCGGCAUGCCUUACACAUGCAAGUCGAACGCGAAAGCGGGGCAACCCGCAAGUAGAGUGGCGAACGGGUGAGUAAUACAUCGGAACAUAUCCAGUAGCGGGGGAUAACCUGUCGAAAGAUAGGCUAAUACCGCAUACGAUCUACGGAUGAAAGCAGGGGACCGCAAGGCCUUGCACUAUUGGAGUGGCCGAUGUCAGAUUAGCUAGUUGGUGGGGUAAAAGCCUACCAAGGCGACGAUCUGUAGCUGGUCUGAGAGGACGAUCAGCCACACUGGAACUGAGACGCGGUCCAGACUCCUACGGGAGGCAGCAGUGGGGAAUUUUGGACAAUGGGCGCAAGCCUGAUCCAGCCAUGCCGCGUG